GACGAGCCUCACGAACGUUAUUCGGAAUUACUGGGCUUAAAGGGUGCGUAGGCGGCGCGGAGAGUAGGGUGUGAAAUCCCUCGGCUCAACCGAGGAACUGCGCUCUAAACUACCGUGCUCGAGGGAGAUAGAGGUAAGCGGAACUUAGGGUGGAGCGGUGAAAUGCGUUGAUAUCCUAAGGAACACCGGUGGCGAAGGCGGCUUCCUGGACCGACACUGACGCUGAGGCGCGAAAGCUAGGGGAGCAAACGGG
rnacentral:rRNA from 1 species